UACGUAGGGGGGCAAGCGUUGUCCGGAUUUAUUGGGCGUAAAGAGCGUGUAGGCGGCCUGGAAGGUCAGCUGUGAAAACUCGAGGCUCAACCUCGAGACGUCGGUUGAAACCACCUGGCUAGAGUCCGGAAGAGGAGAGUGGGAUUCCCGGUGUAGCGGUGAAAUGCGCAGAUAUCGGGGAAGAACACCCGUGGCGAAGGCGGCUCUCUGGGACGGUACUGACGCUGAGACGCGAAAGCGUGGGGAGCGAACAGG
rnacentral:rRNA from 1 species